rnacentral:rRNA from 1 species
UACGUAGGGGGCAAGCGUUGUCCGGAAUCAUUGGGCGUAAAGAGCGUGUAGGCGGCCUGGUAAGUCCGCUGUGAAAGUCCAGGGCUCAACCCUGGAAUGCCGGUGGAAACUGUCAGGCUCGAGUCCGGAAGAGGCGAGUGGAAUUCCUGGUGUAGCGGUGAAAUGCGCAGAUAUCAGGAAGAACACCCGUGGCGAAGGCGGCUCUCUGGGACGGUACUGACGCUGAGACGCGAAAGCGUGGGGAGCGAACAGG